rnacentral:sRNA from 1 species
AGUCGAAAGAAGUCUUUGUGUUGUUCUUCUUCAGCUUCAAUG